CAUUAAAUGACUGAUUUUAAAAGUAUUGAUUUUUUAAAUCAAAAUAUAAUAGAUUCCUCUAUUUUUAAUGA
rnacentral:tRNA from 1 species